UACGUAGGGAGCAAGCGUUAUCCGGAUUUACUGGGUGUAAAGGGAGCGUAGACGGCAGAGCAAGUCUGAAGUGAAAGCCCGCGGCCCAACUGCGGGACUGCUUUGGAAACUGCCCGGCUAGAGUGCUGGAGAGGUAAGCGGAAUUCCUAGUGUAGCGGUGAAAUGCGUAGAUAUUAGGAGGAACACCAGUGGCGAAGGCGGCUUACUGGACAGUAACUGACGUUGAGGCUCGAAAGCGUGGGGAGCAAACAGG
rnacentral:rRNA from 1 species